AAUCAACGCUGGCGGCGUGCCUCAGACAUGCAAGUCGAACGCGAAAGUCCCCUUCGGGGGACAAGUAGAGUGGCGCACGGGUGAGUAACACGUAGGUAAUCUACCUUUGGAUGGGGAAUAACAAUCGGAAACGGUUGCUAAUACCGCAUAAUGCAGCGGCACCUAAUGGUGACAGUUGUUAAAGCGGGGGAUCGAAAGACCUCGCGUCUAAAGAGGAGCCUGCGGCGGAUUAGCUAGUUGGUAGGGUAACGGCCUACCAAGGCGACGAUCCGUAACCGGCCUGAGAGGGCGGUCGGUCACACUGACACUGACAUACGGGUCAGACUCCUACGGGAGGCAGCAGUCGGGAAUUUGGGCAAUGGGCGAAAGCCUGACCCAGCAACGCCGCGUGAAGGAUGAAAUCCCUC
rnacentral:rRNA from 1 species